rnacentral:rRNA from 1 species
GGACUACAGGGGUAUCUAAUCCUGUUUGCUCCCCACGCUUUCGUGCCUGAGCGUCAGGAGGCGGCCAGGACGCUGCCUGCGCCGUCGGUGUUCUUCCGGAUCUCUACGCAUUUCACCGCUCCACCCGGAAUUCCACGUCCCUCUCCGCCCCUCAAGACGGCCCGUCUUCACGGCCCUCGCCCAGUUGAGCCAGGCGCUUUCACCGCAAACUAAGCCGUCCGCCUGCGCACCCUUUACGCCCAGUAACUCCGGACAACGCUCGCCUCCUACGUAUUACCGCGGCGGCUGGCAC